CUCAAAUAAAAUUUUUUUAUUUUUUUGUUUAAUAAAAAGAUUAGAAGAUAAUUAUCCACCGAAAAAAGAAAAAACAGCAAAAAAAACAAAAGAAGAAAUUACAUAAAAGAGAUGAAAAAAAAAAGCUUUCUAAAAUGCCAAAGACUUCCAAGAAAACAUCCUAAUAAUUGAGAGAUAGUGUGCCUAUGAUUGCAAGCAGCAGAUGCAGGAUAAGACCAAUCUCUUGGUCAGAGCUUGGACAUUUGUGCUACUUGUUCUUCCUCCUCUUCAAUCCAGUUUUGGCACUACCCUGGAAUUAAUUUGGUUGUGUAGGCAUGAAAACCAACAUUUCUGGGCUAUAAAGAUGAGCUCCUUUCCCCUUUUUCUUCUUUAAUCUGGUCCAACGAAACCUCAUCUCCACUGCACCAACCAUUGUUGCUAAAGCAAGUGUUCUCUUUCCUUCAGCGGCGGGCACCAUCUUUCCACGCAUGAAAUGCCUGGCAAAGACGGCGACGACGAUGCCUGUCAGCGACACCACUUGAGAGCCAGGUGUUGCUCCAUCCAAAGGCGUUAAAGUGGAUUCCAACUCCUCCCUCAACCAUGGAUUGAAGUGCUCCAGUGGUGACUGUCGUGUCCUUCCCUUUCAUGGCCCAGGAACCAGGGUUCUCCCAGCUCCAAAGGAAGGCUUCUGCAAUGUGUCAAGCGUCAGCCUCUCCUGCGGGGUUACCUGAGAUUAAAGGUGGAGCAGCUCUUGUUGACUGGAUCAACAAUGGCUGUUCUAAUCCUAGAAUAAGUGACUUGAGUUGCACAUCCUCUUGGUAUGCAGCCAUAGGUUCAACUCCUAAGCCAUGAUGUUGUAGUAUGUUUUGGAUCUUUGGAAAUUUGCAGUGUGAUUUGGUGUAUUAGGGGAAUGAUACAUUUCUCAGUUCAUGACA